AACGAACGCUGGCGGCAGGCCUAACACAUGCAAGUCGAGCGAGAACUUCGGUUCUAGCGGCGGACGGGUUAGUAACGCGUGGGAAUAUGCCCUUCACUACGGAAUAGUCCCGGGAAACUGGGUUUAAUACCGUAUACGCCCUUCGGGGGAAAGAUUUAUCGGUGAAGGAUUAGCCCGCGUUGGAUUAGGUAGUUGGUGGGGUAAUGGCCUACCAAGCCGACGAUCCAUAGCUGGUUUGAGAGGAUGAUCAAACCCUUUGCCAAG
rnacentral:rRNA from 1 species